rnacentral:rRNA from 1 species
AAUUUGAAGGGAGCUGUCCUUAGUACGAGAGGACCGGGAUGGACCAACCUCUGGUGCACCAGUUGUCACGCCAGUGGCAUAGCUGGGUAGCUAUGUUGGGAAGGGAUAAACGCUGAAAGCAUCUAAGCGUGAAGCCCACCCUAAGAUGAGAUUUCCCAUAACGUAAGUUAGUAAGACUCCUGAAAGAACAUCAGGUUGAUAGGUGAGGGGUGUAAGCAUGGUAACAUGUUCAGCUGACUCAUACUAAUAAGUCGAGGGCUUGACCUAAUAUAA